AGUCACUGACAUUAGAUACCCGCGUAGUCCCAGCCGUAAACAAUGUGCGUUUAGGUGUGUCGGUAACCACGCGUUACUGAUGCGCCGAAGAGAAAUCGUGAAACGCACCACCUGGGAAGUACGGUCGCAAGGCUGAAACUUAAAGGAAUUGGCGGGGGAGCACCACAACAGGUGGAGCCUGCGGUUUAAUUGGAUUCAACGCCGGACAUCUCACCGGAUAAGACAGCUGAAUGAUUGUCAAUCUGAAGGUUUUACAUGACUAGCUG
rnacentral:rRNA from 1 species